AUACGGAGGGGGCUAGCGUUGUUCGGAAUUACUGGGCGUAAAGCGCGCGUAGGCGGAUCGUUAAGUCAGGGGUGAAAUCCCGGAGCUUAACUCCGGAACUGCCUUUGAUACUGUCAAUCUUGAGUUCGAGAGAGGUGAGUGGAAUUCCUAGUGUAGAGGUGAAAUUCGUAGAUAUUAGGAAGAACACCAGUGGCGAAGGCGGCUCACUGGCUCGAUACUGACGCUGAGGUGCGAAAGCGUGGGGAGCAAACAGGAUUAGAAACCCUAGUAGUCC
rnacentral:rRNA from 1 species